UCCCAGGUAGCUUAGUGAUAAAGAACCCGCCUGCCAGUGCGGGAGACACGGGUUCAAACCCGGAUCUGGGAA
rnacentral:tRNA from 1 species